rnacentral:lncRNA from 1 species
CGUCAUUGUCAUUCCUACCAUCUUCGAACCCAAACCUCUUUCACAUCACCUUGCCCUGAAUGAGACGGAUUAUUUCCCAUCUCAGCAAGUUAUUUGAGAUGGGAAUGGAAAACAUGGUCUCCGAGCCACUUAUAAAAUCUUCCAAGGCGGCAGAACGAGAAUGCUGCUGCUGCUGCCCGGCCCCACCUUGCCGCAAUAACUCACGAGCCUGAGGCCAAAUCUGUAAAUUCAACCAAGGGCAAAACUCUUACAAAACAUCAGCAUUUUGGCCCUUUUUACAACACCCAUCCAUUACGCUUCUCGAGGCUUAAAAAUCGUUUAAAUAAUCGCUCAAUACUUCAUUCAUAAAUUUUACUCACAUUUCACGCACAAAACUCUCUCGCAUAGUCGCAUACACACCUUAUCGAUUCUUCUGUUCUCCUCUCCAAUGGCGAUGAUACUUCGCAAUGGUUGUGCAGGUCGGAUAGUCAAAUCCGGAGCUAUUCGAUCCAUGUCCACUUCGUGGUGGAAGCACGUGGAGCCAGCUCCCAAGGAUCCGAUCCUUGGAGUCACCGAAGCUUUUCUUGCUGAUCCUAGUCCUGAUAAAGUCAAUGUUGGAGUUGUGAGUUAUAAGAGUUUUUCGUUUUUGCUAGCAAGUGGUAGAUUAUAAUUGAUUUUAAUCCACUUUGUUCAGUGAAAUUUGAAGUGAUUUGAAUUAAUUAAUCUUGUUUUACGAGCUCGGAUUUUGUAAUUUUUGUCUAUUAAAAAUAUGUAAAUUCAUUUUAUUUUUUUAUUUUUUUUGUGUAAAAGGGUGCAUAUCGUGAUGAUAAUGGAAAGCCGGUGGUACUGGAGUGCGUCAGGGAAGCGGAGCGGAGAAUCUCCGGUAAUGUGAACAUGUGAGUAUUCUUUUGUUUUCUACUUAUUUUUUAUUGUGAAAAAAAAAAUUAUUUCUUUGUAGUUCGUUCCCUUUCUUCUACUAAUUUACAGUUGGUAACCGCCAUCUGGAAUCACUUCUACUGUUGUGGAUAGAUAAAUUUCAUUUAUGGUCACCGAAGUUUUAGCAAAAUUUUAAUUAGGUAACUAAACUUUAAUUUGCCUCAGUGGAGUUGUCAGACUUCAAUUUAGUUUCAAAUUUCAUGACUUUGUCGCAUUCCUUCACUUGCUGUCCUCAAACCCUAUGGAAAUUGCUUGGUCGGCAGCCAAACCUUAAUCAUUUACCACUAUGCCACGUAAGGAAAGUUCGAAACUCAAGACUAUGCCUAACUAAAUAAUGUAUGUUUUGUAUUUCCAUGUAAUCGCUGCUUAGUUGGCACGGUGAUCGUUUCUUAUUUUGGCAUCCGCUACCAUGGGGCUGUCAACUAAGCAAUAUUAGUAAGUUCUGAGGAAGGAAGUUGAUGAAGUGGUGAACCUGAAAUUAAAUCGAGGAUCAAUUGACCCAUUGUGACAAACUAAAGUUGAGUUACUUAAUUGAGAUUUUACUAAAAGUUAAAUGAGAGUGAACGAAAUUUAACCGUCAUAUAUCGUAGUCAUAGGUAGAGAUGUAUUCAAUGUGUAUUAGGAAAAUGGACCUCUAUGUGGGUAUCUCUAUGCAUUCUGAUUGUAACUUGCAGCUGUAGUGGUGGUCCUAUGUUGUUAACUUUUGAUCCAAGAUCGUUUCCACUAGCCAUUUUGAUCCUUCCAGUUUUGUCAGUGUAUUAGAUUCCUGGAUGGUUUCUUUCUGCUUUUUCCCCCCCAAAGCAAGUAGCAUAUUUCAUCAGCAAACUCGUUAUAUCACACCUUUGUUCCAUCAGGAAAAAGUAACAAAGAAUUUGUUGUAGAUAAAUGAUUUGAAAAAUUAUUCUAUACAUAUAUCAAUUGUGUGCUUAAGUGUGGAUACUAAGUUAUAUUUGACAGAACUAGUCAAAGUUGAACGUGUAUUGCACGUUAUUCUAAAAUACUUUAUAAGUGACGUAAAAGUAAUAUUUAAUACCAAUUUGUAGGAGGAUUUGAUGAGUCUCGUAUGAAUUAAAGAAAAUAAAAUUUACCAUAGAAAUUUAAGAGAAUAAAAUUGUACUCAAAUUGUAUUCUCAAAACUCAAUUUCUAUGAUUCAAAUUUUUUGUAAUGAUGAUAUUAUAAAUAAGCAAUUUUUUUAUAUUACAUUUGGUACAUAAAAAAUUAAUUGUUAAUACAUAAAUUUAAACACUCAUUAAAAUUUUCAGAUACAUGAAUAUGAAUAAAUUCAUUUAUAAUAACUUUAUAUUCAUAUAAUUCAAGACUCAUCAAGUAAAAAUUCAUUGAAUUUAGAUUAAUGCGAAUGUUAAUUAAUUGAGAAUUAAUAACACAAAUUUCAUAAAUGACAAUAAUUUUGUAGUAUUUAUUACAUAUCGAAAAACGAAAAAUAAAGUAUCAUUGAAAUAAUUGAAUUGUAGGGGUUUAAAAUCGUCCAAAAAAUUAUUUUCCCUUGAUGUGAUAUUUUAAUAUAUUAUAGAUAUUUUCAAGAAACUAUUAAAAGUGAAAAUUAGAUCUGAUUUGACUUAUUUUGUUAAGACAUGAUCCAUCAUAAUACCAUGUCCAGUUUGAAGGUCUGAUGCAUAUAUAUUAGAGGUGCGAACUAGUUUGAUCAUAAGACUUUAGGGAAAUUUUUGUAGGUAAAUAAUGUGUAGAUCACUUGCAGUGUCAAACAAAUGUUUGCUUAUCAUGUGUUGGCAAUGAUGUCUUGCUCUGACUGUGAUAGCUGAUUUAUUUUCUUAGGGGAUCUCCAUGGACAAAUGACUCUUAGUUUCAGUGUUUAUCAUGUUAGCAUAGAUGAUAUUUUAUUGUCAUUUAAAGAAGACUGUCGGUAUCCAAUAAAAGAAAAUUAAAAAAUAAAUCAAGAUGUGGAAAAUUUGCAUGUCUAUGGGAAUAUUUGUGGUUACACUGCAAUCAGAAAUAGUUGCAUGAUGUAAAAUUUAAGAUAGACAAUUUACUCGAUGAAAAGGGAUAAACAGAGAUGGAAAUCUAAGUUGCUUUCAUCAUCUUUCCGUAUUUGGUAACAGUUUAAUGGUUUCCCAUAUGAGGCCUUCUCUUGAAAAGUUUCCAGGGGAAUAGGUUUUACUGCAAUAACUUUAGUUCAGGGAGAGAGCAUCAUUAGUUUCACUCUGUGAAGCUACGUCAUUUGUUUGUAACAUUGCUAUUUUUGAUGUUUUCCAUGUACAUAUUCUCUAGUUAUUCAUUAAAGCAAUGAAGCAAAUCAGACAGGUGCCGUUAACACAAUUUUCGUUCAAUUGUAAAUAGACUUAACAAGACUUGAUUUUCCAGGGAAUAUCUUCCCAUGGGGGGAAGUGUAAAUAUGGUCGAGGAGACUCUGAAGCUGGCGUAUGGGGAGAACUCUGACUUGAUCAAAGAGAAGCGGAUUGCAGGUGUACAGGCUCUCUCUGGGACUGGUGCAUGCCGGCUCUUUGCAGAUUUCCAAAAGCGUUUUUCCCCUGAUUCACAAAUCUACAUUCCAGUUCCCACCUGGGCGAAGUUAGUAUUGCUUUUCAAUCUGUCUCUUUCACGUCUGCUGUGUGCUUCAUGUUUUACUUUGUUAUAAACUGACAUUUUCGCAACGUUCUUCCAUUUGUCACGUGUCAUGAUUUUAUUUUUUUAUUGCAUGAAAGUACCGUUUCUGUCAAGUAUUCAUGAUUUUAUUGUGGGAUUUCAUCAGUCAUCACAACAUUUGGAGAGAUGCUCAUGUUCCUCAGAACACAUUCCAUUAUUAUCAUCCAGAGUCUCGGGGUUUGGACUUUGCUUCAAUGAUGGAGGACAUAAAGGUAAGAAAGCUCGAUGAUGACCUAAAUGUUUUUUUGAAUUGCAAGUAGCAAUAUUUUAUGCCUACUGUGUGAGUGUUCUUCUAAUUUUUAUUGGAACAGAAUGCACCAAAUGGGUCAUUCUUUUUGCUUCAUGCUUGUGCUCACAAUCCAACUGGAGUGGAUCCUACAGAAGAACAGUGGCGAGAGAUCUCUCAACAGUUCAAGGUUUGCCUUCUGUGAUGGAGAUGCCUGUUACUUUUUAAAUUAUUGUUCAAAGAAUAAUAGAGAUACAUAUUAUUUCAGGUCAAGGGGCACUUUGCCUUCUUCGAUAUGGCAUAUCAAGGGUUUGCUAGUGGUGAUCCGGAGAGGGAUGCAAAGUCUAUUAGAAUUUUUCUGGAGGAUGGCCAUUUAAUUGGAUGUGCCCAAUCAUAUGCAAAGAAUAUGGGACUUUAUGGCCAGAGAGUUGGUUGCCUGAGGUACUUGUAACUAUGUACUGAACACUUAACCAAGAAUCUUUGAUAUUUUCAUAUCUGUUCUACUUAAUGACAUAUAUCCAACUGCAUAUAUUCAUGACUUUGUGUCUCUGUUGUGUACCGGAGUAAUAUUAAUUCUUAGCUAGGACCCAUCUGCGAUCUGCUUGAAAAAAACAGAACCUUUCUUGAUCUGGAAUUUUUGUUGAAAGCCAGGCCAUUUCAUGCAAUAGCAUGGUGAAAAAGCAUGCACGAAAUCAGAAAGUACACUAAGUUGAAAUACCAUAGAUGAAAAAUGUUUCAUUCUACCAGUGUGCCAUCACCCUAAGCGCUGUUGUAAUUGACUUUCUGUGAGUCUUAUGACAAGCCUCUAACAAAUUCUUAUCAGGGACUACUUGCUACUGCUUUUCAUCCAGUUGCAUAGCACAUUGAUUUGAUAUUUAGAACUGGCAAUUAAAUGCAAUCAUCAAGAGUUCAUUUUUCCCUUGGCUCACGUUCAGGUGCAAGUUUGUUCAAUGUUGUGAAUAUUAACAACCUAAAAGUCGCUAUGUAAGAAACGACAACUAUCGUUCUUGUGUGCAUUUUCAUAUAUACAUUCAUUUCUAUUUCUUGUUUGCUUCCUCUUCCAUUAAACAAUAUUGAAAUUCAGCUAGAGCAAGACUCAAAUAUACUCCUACUUCGAUGCUUCUUUUACUUAUUACAGUUUAGUUUGUGACAAUGAGAAACAAGCUGUUGCUGUGAAAAGUCAGUUGCAGCAGCUCGCAAGACCAAUGUAUAGUAAUCCUCCUGUUCACGGCGCCCUCAUUGUUUCUAUCAUUCUUGGUGAUCCAGAGUUGAAGAAAUUAUGGCUGAAAGAAGUAAAAGUAAGUUUAAACUUCACUUCUGCAAUAUUUAGUUGACCUUCGCACUAUUACAAUUUGUUUGAAAAAGUUCUUUAUUUGUUAGAAUCGAAACAUUUUCUUGGGUUAAAAAGAAUUAACUAAAACUAGGAGAUAGAAACACAUGAUCAAAAUGACUAGUACCACCUGUGGAUAUAAUGAAACAAAUGAACAGGAUAGAAAUUAGAUUUUCUGUAUUGGUUGAAUUCUGAAUUACAGUGAGAAAAGAAAUGCAAAGAGCCGUUCGAGAGUGCUGUAACUCUCCCCAAUAUGACUUCACUCAAGCAUCCCCCUUAUUCUAUUUAUAAGAUUAUUGUAACUGUUUUUUUGUCCACCUCAGCCUGCCUCCUACCAGAUUUUGUUUCUACUCUCUCUCUCUCCCUUCUUCUUGAUCCUUCUAGAAUAGUAAUACCUGAUUGGGGUUCUAUCACAAAACUAGCAAUCAGCAUGCCAAAUCUACUCCUUAUUUAAGUGGAUUAAUGAAUAUUUGUAAUUUAGAGACACCCAAGCUGUUGACUCGUGCUGCUGUACAGAAUUAUGCAGGCAAGACAUGAUUCUGUUGGAACUCUUAAAUUGAGGGUCUCGCUGAUUUUAUUGGCCGGGAUGAAGUUCACCUUGAAAGGAAACUGUUAACCAAUACCUCUUUGAAUGCAUAACAACAUUCUCUAAUCGGUACCUUACAGUAAGCUAUUCUUUAUAUCAAGAAAGUACUAAUAGAAAGUUCUUCCUCCAGGGAAUGGCUGAUCGCAUCAUUGGAAUGAGAAGUGCUUUGAGAGAGAACCUAGAAAAAUUAGGUUCGCCUCUUCUGUGGGAGCACAUAACCAAGCAGGUUUUGCAACUUAUCAAUUCCUAGAAUUUUUCCUGUUUCUGUGUAACUACUUGAAAUACCCUCAAUAUGAAUUCUACAAUCAUUUCUGUUAUUGCAAACAGAUCGGCAUGUUUUGCUAUAGUGGGAUGACCCCUGAACAAGUUGAUCGCUUGACAAAGGAAUUUCACAUUUACAUGACUCGUAAUGGCCGGAUUAGGUAAUACAUCUUUUUCUAAAUUUUCUAUUUUUACCUUUUUUUUAUUUGUGCAAAUUUGCCAAUAUGUAACGUUAACGCAGCAUGGCUGGAGUCAAUACGGGCAACAUUGGUUACUUGGCAAAUGCGAUUCACGAGGUCACGAAAUUGGCUUAGGGAGUUGAGAAUUUACUUAUACAUGAGAUUUAGUGUUGCUGAUUCUUAUAGGAAAUCGACUGGGUUUUAUACACAACGUUGUUCCCCAGAUCGUUCAUUAGGCCUUCAAUAAUAAGACAGAUUCAUCAAGAGCUGAUAAUUUUGAGUUCUCUUGAUUCGUUGGACAAAUUUUAUGUAUGCCAUUUGUAGCUAGUGUAGUAAUAAUUCGGUGCCAGAGGUUACAACCUAUCAAGAGAACACCAUUGUUGUAACUGCAUAUAUUUCAACAUUGAAGUUAAAGUUUCCUUCGUUCUGAUAUUCUAUUUUUUGAGUUGAUUAUUGUUGACCCCAAAAAAGGAACCAAUGCAGCCAAUAAUAAGCAGUUUCAUGUAUCUUCCUCCUUGCGCACUUGGAAUACACCGUUAGUCACUCGUGG